GAUGAACGCUGGCGGCGUGCUUAAUACAUGCAAGUCGAGCGAACAGACGAGGAGCUUGCUCCUCUGACGUUAGCGGCGGACGGGUGAGUAACACGUGGAUAACCUACCUAUAAGACUGGGAUAACUUCGGGAAACCGGAGCUAAUACCGGAUAAUAUAUUGAACCGCAUGGUGCAAUAGUGAAAGACGGUUGUGCUGUCACUAAUAGAUGGAUCCUCGCCGCAUUAGCUAGUUGGUAAGGUAACGGCUUACCAAGGCAACGAUGCGUAGCCGACCUGAGAGGGUGAUCGGCCACACUGGAACUGAAACACGGUCCAGACUCCUACGGGAGGCAGCAGUAGGGAAUCUUCCGCAAUGGGCGAAAGCCUGACGGAGCAACGCCGCGUGAGUGGUGAAGGUCUUUGGAUCGUAAAACUCUGUUAUUAGGGAAGAACAAAUGUGUAAGUAACUAUGCACGUCUUGACGGUACCUAAUCAGAAAGCCACGGCUAACUACGUG
rnacentral:rRNA from 1 species